rnacentral:rRNA from 1 species
CACGGGGGUUGCGAGCGUUGUCCGGAAUUACUAGGCGUAAAGGGCAGGCAGGCGGAUCCAUAAGUUUAUCGUUUAAGGCGUCGGCUUAACCGGCGUAGGGCGGUAGAUACUGUGGAUCUGGAAUGCGGUUGGGGAAGACAGAAUUCCUGGUGUAGCGGUGGAAUGCGCAGAGAUCAGGAGGAAUACCGAAGGCGAAGGCAGUCUUCCAAGCCGUUAUUGACGCUCAACUGCGAAGGUGUGGGUAUCAAACAGGAUUAGAUACCCGCGUAGUCCCUGAG